UACGAAGGGGGCUAGCGUUGUUCGGAAUCACUGGGCGUAAAGGGCGCGUAGGCGGCCGAUCAAGUCGGGGGUGAAAGCCUGUGGCUCAACCACAGAAUUGCCUUCGAUACUGUUUGGCUUGAGACCGGAAGAGGUUAGUGGAACUGCGAGUGUAGAGGUGAAAUUCGUAGAUAUUCGCAAGAACACCAGUGGCGAAGGCGGCUGACUGGUCCGGGUU
rnacentral:rRNA from 1 species